rnacentral:rRNA from 1 species
GACGAACGCUGGCGGCGUGCUUAACACAUGCAAGUCGAACGGGAUCCGGGCUUUCGGGUUUGGUGAGAGUGGCGAACGGGUGAGUAACACGUGAGUAACCUGCCCCCUUCUUUGGGAUAACGUCGGGAAAUCGGCGCUAAUACUGGAUAUUCUUGCUGCAUCGCAUGGUGUGGUUUGGAAAGGGUUUCUGGUGGGGGAUGGGCUCGCGGCCUAUCAGCUUGUUGGUGGGGUGAUGGCCUACCAAGGCUUUGACGGGUAGCCGGCCUGAGAUGGUGUCCGGCCACACUGAGACUGAGACACGGCCCAGACUCCUACGAGAGGCAGCAGUGGGGAAUAUUGCACAGUGAGCGCAAGCCUGAUGCAGCGACGCCGCGUGAGGGAUGACGGCCUUCGGGUUGUAAACCCCUUUCAGUAUGGAACAAGGAUCCUUCUUUUGGGGGGUUUGAGGGUACGUGCAGAAGAAGCGCCGGCUAACUACGUG